rnacentral:lncRNA from 1 species
AGAGGUUGCAUUUUGAAUACCCUUGGCCUGGCUGUUGUGGUGAAGCUAAUCAGAGGUAAUUACGGGGGAAGGAGGGAUCCUGAGAGGGACCCCACAGAGACCACCUCAUCCGCCCCAGCCCAGCCCUGGUGGCCCUGGCCUCCAGGGCCUAGGCCAGCUCAGUCUUGCCUGGUGAGGGUGAACCCACCAACACCCCACCCCAUGGUCCUCUCUCUCCCGCCCACUCCCCAUUCCCACAGCUGCAGGUAAGGUUCACACAUCUGGGUUUUCCUCAAUCUCCCCAAAGCUGCUCCAUAUGCACUCAUUCAUUUCAGAUUUUCUGGGCACCUCCUCUAAGCCAAAGCCCACACUGGGCACCUGACAAAAACUGGUCCCUACCCUCAUGGAGCAGCUGCUAGGAUUUUGGUCAGGGUAGACUUUGCAGGGGCUGGGGGCAUAGCCUUGGAAAGGCAGAGGGUCCCUGCAGAAUCACAAGCCCCUUCAGGGGAGGGCCUCCCUUCUACCACCUUGCUGAUGCCAGAGGAGUGGAGCUUACCAGCCCAGAGCUUCUCGACUUCCACCACUCCUAGCCUGUCAUGGCGCCCAUCCUCCCUCCCACCCAGUGUUGAUGGGUGUCAGGCCACACCCUGCUCUGUCUCCCUGUCCUGACCACCUGUCCUCCUCCUGCAGCUUCCUCCAUCCACUUGGGUUCCCCCUGCUUUUCUGCUGGGGUGGGAAGGGGGUCUCUCUGCAGUGCAGAGAGGCUGGAUUGAGAGCAGCAUCUCUCAGUCACCUCCUUGGGGUUCACGGCCCCAAGCUGGGAGAGCCCUUAGAGACCAAGAAGAUCAGCUGUCUCUCACACCCUAGGAAAUUGAGGCCCAACGGGAUGGGGAGUCCAAGGAGUCAGGGUCAGCGGAAUUAAACCCCAGUCUCUGACUCCCAGUCCAGUGCUCUUUCUGGGGAGUCCUCCCCGAGCCUGCAUCUGGAGGACAGAGUCCAGGCCUGUUCCUUCUCCCAUCCCCUCACUGUGCCCAGAAGGAGAGAGGAGCAAACAGGGGUCCCCACCAUCCUGCCUUUCUGUCCUGCCCCACUAGCCUGGGCCCAGAGACAAGGCCGUGGGGUGGGAGGGACCACAGGGGGCUUCGUUGAGGGUCUCUAAUUUCCUCCUGCUCCUUGAUGUCCAGAGCAAAACAGGC